rnacentral:rRNA from 1 species
AUUGAACGCUGGCGGCAGGCCUAACACAUGCAAGUCGAACGAGUGGCGGACGGGUGAGUAAUGUCUGGGAAACUGCCCGAUGGAGGGGGAUAACUACUCGAAACGGUAGCUAAUACCGCAUACCAUCAGAUGUGCCCAGAUGGGAUUAGCUUGGUGGUGGGGUAACGGCUCACCAAGGCGACGAUCACUAGCUGGUCUGAGAGGAUGACCAGCCAGACUGGAACUGAGACACGGUCCAGACGCCUACGGGAGGCAGCAGUGGGGAAUAUUGCACAAUGGGCGCAAGCCUGAUACAGCCAUGCCGCGUGUAUGAAGAAGGCCUUCGGGUUGUAAAGAACGUUCAGCGGUGAGGCGUUACCCGCAGAAGAAGCACCGGCUAAAUCCGUGCCAGCAGGCGCGGUAAUUC